rnacentral:lncRNA from 1 species
GUGAACACUAAUCCAUGCGUCUGUGAAUCUGGAGGCAGAACUCAGGUUUGGCUGGAGUUGGGCACGUUUCCCCUGUCCUCCAUGCAGUGAGUGACUGAAUAGAGCUGUUUGUGUGAUGUUGGUGUAACAAUAACUAGGGCUCUCUUGCUCUGAUUGAAAACACACUGUGAGCAAGAGAAUUUUAGACAAAGCACUUUAUUUUACAUUUUAGUUUAGGCUCAAAACUAGCCCUGCUUCCUAGCUGUGGCUGCUUGGCCAUUUGUUGCUGACCAGUUCCAAAUCAGAUUUUUGCUUGGGUUUUCCCUGGCCACAUUUACAGAAAAGAGUUGUGAAUUUUCUUAUGUAGAAAGGGGAAGAUUAAUUUACAUUGCUGCCACCCAAAGUGUUUUGUUUUGUUUUGUUUUGUUUUUUGGUUAGUAAGCUCAGGGCUGUCAAUACCAAACUUUCAAAGUUCAAGUUGAUAGAUGGUGGAAGGCAAAAUGUGUCUGUCACAGAAACAGGUGUGGGUCCUGACUGACAACCAGGCACUUUCCCCACUAUCGAAACAGGCGAAAAGACUUGUGGACCAAAGCACCUGUACAGGGACAAAGACACCGUUCAAACCAGCAGUGCAAGCUCCUAUCACCUCUGGCUCUAUGCAAAAUGUCCGUGUUCUGCGUAUAAAUAAGUUUUGGGAUCACCAAGCUGCCUGGCUCACUGUGCUGAUAGUGGAAUGAAGAUUAUCCCUCGGGCUGUAAGCUGCAGCUUUCUGCCCACUGUCAUGUCAAAUCUCUAUGGCAAGGAGAAUAAAAGCAAAGGCUUCCCAGGUAUGUGGUGAGCCUGAAGCUGGUGUGUGACAACUGGCAUCUGUGAAAAUGAUUGUGUUUGUUACAACAGACAUGAGUGGUGCAGGAUGCCAUGCAGUGAGACAUGGCUGCAACUUUACUGACCUCUCAAGAAAUAAAUGUGCCCAUGGAAAACUUUAA